rnacentral:rRNA from 1 species
UACGGAAGGCAGCAGUGGGGAAUAUUGCACAAUGGGCGCAAGCCUGAUGUAGCCAUGCCGCGUGUAUGAAGAAGGCCUUCGGGUUGUAAAGUACUUUCAGUCGUGAGGAAGGUGUUAAGGUUAAUAACCUUAGCAAUUGACGUUAGCGACAGAAGAAGCACCGGCUAACUCCGUGCCAGCAGCCGCGGUAAUACGGAGGGUGCGAGCGUUAAUCGGAAUUACUGGGCGUAAAGGGCACGCAGGCGGUUAAUUAAGUUGGAUGUGAAAUCCCCGGGCUUAACCUGGGAAUGGCAUUCAAGACUGGUUAGCUAGAGUCUUGUAGAGGGGGUAGAAUUCCAUGUGUAGCGGUGAAAUGCGUAGAGAUGUGGAGGAAUACCGGUGGCGAAGGCGGCCCCUGGACAAAGACUGACGCUCAUGUGCGAAAGCGUGGGGAGCAAAC